rnacentral:misc_RNA from 1 species
CUAAGGAUGGUUCUUCAGAAGCUUGCUUCUAUCGAGCCGUUUUAGAAACAUCAGUGGCCAACAGAUCGCCAGAUCGUUGAGCUGCAUUGGCGGGAUUUCGCCGUCUUCGUUUCUCUUUCUUCGCGGACGAACACGCGCUGGGCCUGCAUCGAGCAGGAUCCCACGGUCCCUGACGGGAUAUGCGUUAGGGGCUUGUAGCUCAGUUGGUUAGAGCGCGCGCUUGAUAAGCGUGAGGUCGGAAGUUCAAGUCUUCCCAGGCCCACCACUUUCAGUGAGCAUUCGUCUUCUGGUUACGGGGCCAUAGCUCAGCUGGGAGAGCGCGUGCUUUGCAAGCAUGAGGUCGUCGGUUCGAUCCCGUCUGGCUCCACCAGAUGGUUUGAUCACCGAGAUCUUGUACCGUCGUCCGCGAAACAUCACUUCGCAUCCUGCUAGUCUGGAUAGACAGCAAGAUGCGUGUUUUCUGACAUCGUAAAGAGGAGAUCGAUCCGAGUUGGGUCGUGCAGCAGAUUGUUGCGCGGAUCCUUCAUUAUCUCCGGAUCAUUUUCGGCGCUCGCUCUCAGCCGUGAGGUUGAAUGCGAGUUGUAAAAUGAUCCUUUUAGCGAAGCUUGACCGCCUCGCUAUCGGAACGAUCUUACGAAGCAAGCUGGUCUUUCUAGUCAAUGUCCGGCUGCAGAUAGCGUUCAUCGAGGGCGCGUGCCUUAGAGACUUCGGUUUCUUGGCAAUUCUGCAGACAACAUUCUGCCGAGUGUGUGGACAUUGAUAAUGAGAGCAAUCAAGUGCCUUAAGGGUGUUCGGUGGAUGCCUUGGCGCUGAGAGGCGAUGAAGGACGUGCUACGCUGCGAUAAGCCGUGGGGAGCUGCGAAGAAGCUUUGAUCCGCGGAUUU